rnacentral:tRNA from 1 species
GUUUUAAUAAUUUAAUAAAAAUAAUGAUUUUGUAAAUCAAUAAUAGGUUGAACAAUUAACCUUUAAAACU